rnacentral:rRNA from 1 species
AGCAGCCGCGGUAAUUCCAGCUCCAAUAGCGUAUAUUAAAGUUGUUGCAGUUAAAAAGCUCGUAGUUGAAUUUCGGGGUUAGUAGGUUGGUCAUGCCUAUGGUAUGCACUGGCCUCACUGAUUCCUCCUUCCUGAUGAGCCGUAAUGCCAUUAAUUUGGUGUUGCGGGGAAUUUGGACUGUUACUUUGAAAAAAUUAGAGUGUUUAAAGCAAGCUAACGCUUGAAUACAUUAGCAUGGAAUAAUGAAAUAGGACGUUCGAUCCUAUUUUGUUGGUUUCUAGGAUUGACGUAAUGAUUAAUAGGGAUAGUUGGGGGCAUUAGUAUUCAAUUGUCAGAGGUGAAAUUCUUGGAUUUAUUGAAGACUAACUACUGCGAAAGCAUUUGCCAAGGAUGUUUUCAUUAAUCAAGAACGAAAGUUAGGGGAUCGAAGACGAUCAGAUACCGUCGUAGUCUUAACCAUAAACUAUGCCGACUAGGGAUCGGAUGAUGUUAAUUUUUUAAUGACUCAUUCGGCGCCUUACG